rnacentral:lncRNA from 1 species
AUGCCCAGCUUUUGUGUGUGGGUGAUAUGCGAAGCACGUUCACGUGUACAAACAGGGAAGUUUUCCCUUUCAACGGUCUACACUUUGCCAAAGAGACAAGCAGAAGUUUGUACCACGACGAGAGCAACUUUCCUCCGCUACGUUGUUGUUGUUGUUGUUUCCCUUUUUUUUAUUGCGGCUGUCAAUAGCAUUAUCAAUACAAAAUCCGUCCUCGAUUAUAUGUGUGCCAAAGUGGAAUACAGAGAAAGAAAACAAAGAGGAAGUGAGUGCGGAAGCAGAAGAACAAAACAUCAGAAUCGAUCCAUGACGAAUGAUACCAUGUUAA